GAAGAAGAACGCAGCGAAAUGCGAUAAGUAAUGUGAAUUGCAGAAUUCAGUGAAUCAUCGAAUCUUUGAACGCACAUUGCGCCCGCCAGUAUUCUGGCGGGCAUGCCUGUUCGAGCGUCAUUUCAACCAUCAAGCCCCAGGCUUGUGUUGGAGCCCUGCGGCUGCCGCAGCCUCCCAAAACCAGUGGCGGGCUCGCUAUCACACCGAGUGCAGUAGUUUACUCUUCGCUCAGGGCGUGUGGCGGGUGCUAGCCGUAAAACCCCCAACUUCUCAAGGUUGACCUCGGAUCAGGUAGGAAUACCCGCUGAACUUAAGCAUAUCAAUAAGCGGAGGA
rnacentral:misc_RNA from 1 species